AGGUUUUCAAAAGUACUGCUUCCCUUCUCAUCCAUCUCUUCUGGAAUUGGCAAAUGCCCUCAGGGGUCAAGCAACCACCAAUAACGGGUUUACUUUUCUGGGAGCUGAACUUCUGAUGUGUGGAUGGGAGGGGAGAUGGCAUAUGGCCUGGUGAAAUAGGUAAGUAGCUUUUUUGGCGGGGGUUCAUGCAGGCUUCUGGCUUACAUUAAGAGCUAUAAAAAUAUUGCCUGGUUUUCUGGCACCAGUGCCUACUCAAAAUGUAUCAUCGGAACUUAUCUUCAGAACUUAUUUAGAAUAUUAUCCUGGGGAUAAAUGCUAGUAUUACCCUCAAAUAUUCUGUUCUUCAAUAAUUACCUGGUAGGACCCCAUGGCCCUCUCCUGUCUUCAGCUCCCCAGCCCAUGUCUGUAUCCUUCUCACAAUUUCUAUGGUUGGCUGGGAAAACGACCUCAAUUGGAAGUUCCCUCUUGUCAGUUGUGUGUAGUCAUGGGUUUUUAGUCAUUGGAUUUGCCCAUUAAUUUAUUCUCAUUUGUUAUAUAUUUUCCAGGAAUUCUUCAUUGUUUUUUCUAGCAUUCAUUUGGUUACUUCCAGUGUUUUAAAAUAAAAUAUUUGUCACAAACAAAUGAAAAAACAUUCCAUGCUCAUGG
rnacentral:lncRNA from 10 species